rnacentral:lncRNA from 1 species
AUGAAAAGGUGGAUAUCGCGAUGAAAGUUCUAGAACAUGGGUCGUGCUACCUCGCGAGCAAAACCUCUAAGCCAGUACACGAUUGAUAACCUCUGACAGCACAUAUAUCUUCAUUUGAAAAACCGCUACAACAUGGGUCGUGCUACCUCGCGAGCAAAUCUCUAAGCUAGUACACAAUUCCUAAUCUGUGACAGCAUAUCUUCAUUUGAAAAAGAAAAUACUAAAAGAGCAAAGAAUCAAGGAUUCAAAUUCUUUAAUUGGAAUUAAGGGGGCAGAUGGUAGCAAGUCAAGAAAGUUGCGGAUGACUUAGACUUCUUUGCUUCACAGAAAGUUUUUGCAAGCAAUUAACAUUCUUGGAGAAAAGAGUAAUUAACAUAAGCAAUAUUUGUUUAGGAAGGCUAUUUUAGUUGCUUUUUAGGUUGCAAUGUUUAGCCCCGCAGGACUAUUUAUUUUUCUGCCUUGUAACGAGUUG